CCGGGAUGUUCAUAACCCUUUGUUGUCCGACUCUGUUGCCUCCGGGGCGACCCUGCCUUCGGGCGGGGGCUCCGGGUGGACACUUCAAACUCUUGCGUAACUUUGCAGUCUGAGUAAACUUAAUUAAUAAAUUAAAACUUUUAACAACGGAUCUCUUGGUUCUGGCAUCGAUGAAGAACGCAGCGAAAUGCGAUAAGUAAUGUGAAUUGCAGAAUUCAGUGAAUCAUCGAAUCUUUGAACGCACAUUGCGCCCCCUGGUAUUCCGGGGGGCAUGCCUGUUCGAGCGUCAUUUCACCACUCAAGCCUCGCUUGGUAUUGGGCAACGCGGUCCGCCGCGUGCCUCAAAUCGACCGGCUGGGUCUUCUGUCCCCUAAGCGUUGUGGAAACUAUUCGCUAAAGGGUGUUCGGGAGGCUACGCCGUAAAACAACCCCAUUUCUAAGGUUGACCUCGGAUCAGGUAGGGAUACCCGCUGAACUUAAGCAUAUCAAUAAG
rnacentral:rRNA from 1 species